rnacentral:lncRNA from 1 species
AGAAUUCUUACAAAAUAAAUGAUAAAUAUAAAACAAACUAAAUAUUAUUUCCCUGGCGCCACAAAGCUGACUGGGAGGCGCCACCUAGAUCAAGUCGAACUCCUCGUUAGGCGGCUCUUCUUGAACCACCUGUUCUUCUCCUGUGGGGGUGUGAGACAGCAAGGGUGAGCUCACAUAUGUUCAUCGCUCAACAAGUUGUGGAGAAUAAUGUGCAUGAACUCGCCAAAGGUGGGAGUUCAUGUGAAGUGUAAGGCUGAUCAAUAAAAUAAAGGCUGAAGCUAAGCAUUGCUUUUAUAAGUUGGUCAAAAUUUUAUUAGCAGUUACUAAGUGUAAGUAAAUACCAAACCUUAGUAACAAAAGUAAUAAUAAAAUAAUCCUAAUGCGAUGCAAAUGACAAAUUGAGUUCGAUUCCAUAAAUUAAUCAUGUGAAUGUCCGAGCUGCUUAUGACCGUGAGCACGACUAGUAUACCAGUUUUAAACUCUGCAGAGGUUGCACAUCUUUACCCACAAGUCGGGUUACCCAUUUUCCACGGGGUUGAUUGGACCCCAUACACCUCUACCAAGGAAGCGAGGUAGGGUACAACUACGAGGCCUUUACAAAGUUCCACUAGCAUCAGAAAAACCGCUACAGUUUAUAGGAAGCUCUAGUGCAGGGAUCCCUCGUCUGAUCGCCAUCGCAGCAAAAUCAACCCAAGGACCUCCCCACACUUACCACUCCCCUUCUUCCCUUGCCCCUAUCGGGUAAGGUAGUCUUCCACUAGCUUUCCUAGUUAAUCAGCCAAGGGCGUCCCAUACCACCCUUGUGGUAGCACUGUUUUCCCGGGUGGUUGUCCAUGUUCCCAUUAACAUAAUGAUCUUAUCAUGAACAGUAAAUAAUAAACUGAUAAUAAAAAGUGUAAUCAUGAGUGAUGUAUAUCUCCAUACCCAAAACCACAUAAAGUAAUAACAUGUACUACCCAAAAAUUUAGUGGUAAAACAAGGUAUUAAGAUAGCCAAACUAGGGUAACCUAUUGGGUCCCAUCAAAAUUAACCUAUGCAAAUCAUUAUGAUUAAUAAGAACAUGACUGGGUAAAAAGGAAGUGAUCAAGGGCACAACUUGCCUUCAACGAGCUCCUGCUCAACGGUCUCCACCUGCUAAACCCGUGGAUCCUCUAUGGCUUGCUCGUCUACUCGCGUCAAUACAAACAUACAUAGUAUAGCAAAAAUUAACAUCAUACCAAACCAUAGGACAUAAUACAUGAUAAUAUUCUAUGCUGCGUAACGAGAUCGUAGGAACAAGAAGCAUUAAAUUCAGAGUUAGUUAUUUAGUUAUGAAUUUCUGAAGUUAUUAAGAACUUAGAAUAGAAUAAUUCAAAUAAAAAAAUCUUAAUUCAAGUUUCAUGGCUAAACAGAGGUGCUAAGUCGUGAAGAAUAUUAAAACAAAAUUAAUGCCACUAGAAUGAAUCAAUUUGGAAUUAAAAUGAAUUUUAUAUAAAUUAUACAAAUUUCUAGAAUUAUUUUUGUAUUAAAAAUAAAUUUCUAUAAGUAUUUCACUAAUUUCUCUGGUUUCUGGAUUGGGCGCACAAAUACUUAAAAGGCUAGGGGCUUUCUCGAAAGAUUUCGCCAGACACAGAGAACCCCGAGGGUGGACCGCGGGUUGUUUUGGUGAAUCUGCGAGGGCUCUUUUGCAAAAAUCUUGGCCGAAGGGGUAUAGAGCUACCAGAGCCGUCCGAUCACAAUUACACAACUCAGAUUAGAUCUUUAGGUUUAAUAAACCGGUAUCCUAUUGAGACCGCACGAUUUAAGAUCUGCGGCCCAAAUUUAAUGAAACGCUGAUCCAACCUCCGCCACCGGAUUCGGGAUCUACGGUCGCAAGAAGCCUUAGCCGAACCGGUUUCUUUGGUUUGAUCUAGUCCGUCCAUCAAUCAACCCACGGCCAGCCAUCUCCGUCAACAACCCUGCCCUCAAGACGGCGGCGCCAGAGCCAGUCACGACGACCGCCAUUGCCGACACACGCCGCCUAGUGAUUCCGUUCCUAAAACUUCUAUCCGAAGGGCGCUUCGCUAAGUAGAAGAGGGAGGGAAAUCCCUAUGGGCGAACUCACCGAAGACGGCGACCGAGACGAUGCUGGCCACGACGAGGGGCGAUACCGCGGCGGAGGAGGAGCGUCGACGAGAAAUUGUCCAUACGCGAGGCGAUUUUAGACACCCGCAGCACCCGGAUUGACUACUGAGACCCCAGGCGGUGCUCUAUGACACUUCCACGGAGCUAAAUUAUCGUGGAACCGCAGUUGGACUGGCGCCGAUAUCACCCACCCGCAUGGCGAUGUCUGCAAUUUGCGCGGCGUGGUCUGGGCGGAUGCAGUUGUUAGGUCUCGAAGGGUUGGCCCCGGUGUCCUUUUAUCUCGGUCAGUGGAGGAUGGCGCAUACCCGCAUGCAAUGUGUGCAACAG